rnacentral:rRNA from 1 species
UGGGGAAUUUUGGACAAUGGGCGCAAGCCUGAUCCAGCCAUACCGCGUGAGUGAAGAAGGCCUUCGGGUUGUAAAGCUCUUUCAGACGGAAAGAAACGGUUACGGCUAAUACCCGUGACUAAUGACGGUACCGUAAGAAGAAGCACCGGCUAACUACGUGCCAGCAGCCGCGGUAAUACGUAGGGUGCGAGCGUUAAUCGGAAUUACUGGGCGUAAAGCGUGCGCAGGCGGUUUGGUAAGACAGAUGUGAAAUCCCCGGGCUUAACCUGGGAACUGCAUUUGUGACUGCCAGACUAGAGUGUAGCAGAGGGGGGUAGAAUUCCACGUGUAGCAGUGAAAUGCGUAGAUAUGUGGAGGAAUACCGAUGGCGAAGGCAGCCCCCUGGGCUAACACUGACGUUGAGGCACGAAAGCGUGGGGAGCAAACAGGAUUAGAUACCCAAGUAGUCCCUGAGCGGGCUGGCAAGGCGCAU